UAUCAGGUGAACAGAAAGGACAGGACAA
rnacentral:piRNA from 1 species